UACGAAGGGGGCUAGCGUUGUUCGGAAUUACUGGGCGUAAAGCGCACGUAGGCGGCUAUUCAAGUCAGAGGUGAAAGCCCGGGGCUCAACCCCGGAACUGCCUUUGAAACUAGGUAGCUAGAAUCUUGGAGAGGUCAGUGGAAUUCCGAGUGUAGAGGUGAAAUGCGUAGAUAUCGUCAGGAAUGCCGGUGGUGAAGACGGGUGACUGGGCUGGUUCUGACACUGAGGCACGAAAGCGUGGGGAGCGAACGGG
rnacentral:rRNA from 1 species